GGAUAAUCUUGCCAAUCAUGGAGAGGGUGUUGGCUUAACAACCCUCGAGAUGAUCACAGAUCCACUACUCCAUGGGCCUACAAUCGAUCCUCUGAAAUCUCUGUCCCAUGAUAGGAACCCCCAGAUAGGCCAGGAUCUUGGUUUACUCAGGGGUCCCCAGCCUAUCCUGAAUUGCCUACUUCACUUGGACCUUCUUGUUAGGGCUAAAGAUAACUACAGACUUCUAAAAAUUCGCAAGUUGGCCGAAAGCUAGAGCUCUAUCUCUAUAUUAAGAUUAUUA
rnacentral:lncRNA from 1 species